rnacentral:tRNA from 1 species
UUUUUUAUGGUGUAAUAAACACGUUGAAUUUUCGAUUCAGAGAUGGGAAAAUCUUCUCUAGGCYUUUACAUUAGGUUAUUUUGAAAAUA